rnacentral:rRNA from 1 species
UACGUAGGCAGCGAGCGUUGUUCGGAGUUACUGGACGUAAAGCGUGCGUAGGCGGUGUCUUAAGUUUGUUGUGAAAUCUCCCGGCUUAACCGGGAGGGUGCGGCGAAUACUGAGAUGCUGGAGUGCGGGAGAGGUAAGCGGAAUUCCUGGUGUAGCGGUGAAAUGCGUAGAUAUCAGGAGGAACACCUGCGGUGUAGACGGCUUACUGGACCGUAACUGACGCUGAGGCACGAAAGCGUGGGUAGCAAACAGG